GUCACAUGUCCCGCCACCCGCUCCCGUCCAUCGGAGUACUAAACUUAUGCCCCUAAUUACUCCGCAAGUUUCAACUUUUUGUAAUUUUUUUUUUCACUGUAUGGUUCAAAAAAGUUAGGUCUAGGCGGGUAUGUCGCCACAUUUUUGAUAUAACCCUCAAGUUGCCCGCUAGACUGCUUGCAAGUUACUGUGUUUUUAAAGCUUUUUUUUGAGAAAAAUAAUUAUUAAUUUCGAAAAAUCGCUACAUACUCUCCUAGAUAAAGGCAUUGACAUCAUUUUAAAACAAACCCCAAUGAAAUCGGUUGAAAAUUCGCGGAGUAAUCAGGUGCAUAAGUUGGACAUUUUUCUCGAACUGAAACUACUGAUAACGCGUCGUAAAGAAUACCCUUAAUUUGGCUGAAUUUCUGGCUGAUUCAGACGAAAUUCAAGAACCGGAUACUUGGUUUUUGCUUUUGAUUUAUACUCCCAUUCAAGCGGUUCCAUUUGACAAAAGGAAAGAAAUAUCUUUUGAUAUUUUGGAAGAUUUAGUAAACGAACUGGUCCUUGCUAACGUUGAACAUUACACUUGUGUCCAUUAUUGCACUGCAGUCUUCGUCGUUUGGUUGCGAAAGGGUUUUAAUAUUCAGAUUACAAAUGGCCAUCAGACUUCUACAGUGAAGGACUUCGAAUUUUUCUAUCUGGGUAUUCGUUGUCGUGCUCAAGUCCAUCUAGGAUACAACGAGAUCAGUAUGAGGAACAUGAAAACUGGCGUUACGCGUAGCGUGAACUUGGCAAAUUUGUUAGGAACCCCUAAUGAUGAUAAUUUCAGAGUUCGUCACUUUGAUAAUAAGCAGACUCACCAGUUGGCGAAUUGCUUGGUUUCGGAUCUGUAUUUACAUUUCUACCAGAAUAUGUUGGAAGCUAUUGAACUAGAAGCUGGAGUACCUUGAAAUAUGUUUUGAUUCUAGUGCUAAGCUAUGUUACGAAUGUGCGCCUUGUAAUUAGAUGUGUAUUGUUUUUAUUUCAACGAAUGCGUCCCAAUCUCAACAACUACGAUAGAAAUUCGUUUGCCAGAAAUUUUUAAUCACAAAGCUACACAAAAGCAUGGAUUAAAAACUCAGAGAGUGAAAUUUUUUGAAAAAAGUUCUUUUGAAUUUCAAUUUCUACUUUUAUUUUUGGCUGUUUUCGCACUUUUUGAUGAUAUGAUAUGUCGAUAUUAUUGAUUUUUUUAUGUACGAUAAUAUAUUUUGUUUAUUUGAGGA